UGAAGGGCGUGGUCUCCUGUAGUAAGGGCGAGGGGCUUAGGGUGGGGGAGAAGGCGACGUCGAAGUGCAUCAACACCGUCUUAUUUUGAUUCAGAGUGACGUGACUGGCGUUUGUCCAGCGCGCGGUCGUGUUAGCCGCGGCGGUGACCGUGGUCUUGGCUGCAAUACUUGUGUCCGCCGAUCCCGACCCCGGAUUCAAGAAAGGAUACGGCAGAAGACACGUGGGAUACGGUAAAGGAGGACACGGCAAGGGACACGUCAAGGGCUACGGGAAAGGACAAGGUGGAUACGGUCACGGAGGAGGAGGAGGAGGAGGAGGAUACGGACACAGCUCAGGAGGAUACGGGAAAGGACACGGUGGCUACGGCAAAGGAAUCGGUAAAGGUUUCAAAGGGUUUUACAAAGGACUGAAAGGCUUUUCCACGGGGUUUAAAAGCUUCUACAAAGGUGGACACAAGGGAUACGGCGGAGGAAAAGGGGGGUAUGGCAAAGGCAAAGGCCACGGGGGUUAUGGAAAAGGUAGCGGUAAGGGCAAAGGUCACGGAGGGUAUGGCCACAGGUGAAGAACCAAUGUGUAGAACUCAAAAGAUAUUUCAAAACAAUAUCACAAUAUAUCAGCGUUAAUCGUUGAAUCUCUAUGUUAUUAGUGUUGAUAUAAUAGUUUCUAUUCCACCGCACCCAUUUCUCUUGCUAUUAUAUACGAAAUUAUCAGGAGUGCUGAAGAGGAAUGGUUUUCUUCCAGUAAAAGUGUAUGAGUAGGGAAAUGCGAUGAUGUUAAUAAUAAUGUAGAGAUGGUAUGUAAGCUACUCCUGGUAAAUCUAACAGUUGUUUGGCAUUCAGCUGCUUUCUAGUGAAAUUAUUUGUUAAAGAAUUAAGAAAAUGCAAAAUUUGAUUGGACUGUAUCCCCUUGUAUGAAGUUUGCACGAUUAAUAUUGUAGAUUUCAUUUGCUUUUCCGUCCAAUUACUGGAAAACUUACAAUGAUAGAUAUAGCUUUAUGCCAUCAUACAAUCUUGUGUUUUGCACUAAGUGUUAUAGUUUAUGUUAGUAUAUGUUAUGGUUUUGUAAUUUUGCAUAUUUCAAUGUAAUUACAACAAUGGUGCGUUAUGUGAUAUAUGGAAUAUGAUACGUGUGAAUAAAGGUUAAUUACUGAAAA